AGAGCGAACGCUGGCGGCAGGCUUAACACAUGCAAGUCGAGCGCCCCGCAAGGGGAGCGGCAGACGGGAGAGUAACACGUGGGAACGUACCUUUCGGUUCGGAACAACCCAGGGAAACUUGGGCUAAUACCGGAUACGUCCGUAAGGAGAAAGAUUUAUCGCCGAAAGAUCGGCCCGCGUCUGAUUAGCUAGUUGGUGAGGUAACGGCUCACCAAGGCGACGAUCAGUAGCUGGUCUGAGAGGAUGAUCAGCCUCACUGGGACUGAGACACGGCCCAGACUCCUACGGGAGGCAGCAGUGGGGAAUAUUGGACAAUGGGCGCAAGCCUGAUCCAGCCAUGCCGCGUGGGUGAUGAAGGCCCUAGGGUUGUAAAGCCCUUUGGCGGGGAAGAUAAUGACGUACCGCAGAAGAAGCCCGGCUAACUCGUGCCAGCAGCCGC
rnacentral:rRNA from 1 species